rnacentral:pre_miRNA from 1 species
AGAGUACUCCCUCCGUUCGGAAUUACUUGUCUCGAAAAUAGAUGUAUCUAGAACUAAAAUACGUCUAGAUACAUCCAUUUCUGCGACAAGUAAUUCCGAACGGAGGGAGUAUAUA